GAGACAAGAAAGCCAUAUUGGGAGGUGAAGAAAACGGAGGAAACCUGGACCGAAGGAGAAUGAAGUGGACAGUCUGCAUUUUUUUUUUCAGCUUGCUUGAACCAUGGAGGAAUCAAGAAGGUGAGCCAACUUCUAGCUUGAUUUGUAGCAGAAAAAUAAGGUAAUAUGGCUGAAAAACUUCAAUCUUUCCUUAUACUUUAAAGAGAUGUGAAUACAUGUUUGAUUUGAAGUUUGAUAGAGGUAGAAACUAGUGGGAAUAGCUUGUUUGUAGCUGGAAAGUUUCCAGGUUGAAUCGAACUAGUCAAGGCUGCCAUCUCUUUUAGCUUUUGGUUUAUUUUGCUGGAUGUUUGCUAGGGAAUCAGUUAUUCUUUUGAUAGCUGAAUAUUGGCAGAAAUAUUUCAUGUAUGCAAUAGUUUUGGCUGCUGGAAUUUUUAGAAGGAAGCCGAGAGAGUUGAGCUAUCAAUUUUCAACCCUUAUUUGCAAUUUUUGUUAAGUUUUGCUAGGAAAUGCUCGAUUAAUACCAUACCUUAUAUUAUAAACAUGUGAUUGUGUGACUUCUCGAUGAAGCUAAGUAAGAAAGGUGUUGUUUUGAUAAAAAAAAAAAGAAAAAAGUGAAGACAGCUUGAGGAAAAUUGGAGGAACUUUGCUCCAUCCUUGUCACAGCUUGCUGUCUCGUCCUUUUGAGGAGUUUCCACUAGGAAGUCACACUCUAACUGUUAUAUUUCUUGUUUUGUAUGAUAUAUAGCAUGUUGGUUUUGAUCUUGGUUGCAAAUUGCUGGUUUAGAGGUGAGAUUUGCAGAGAUAAAGUUGAAAUAACUCUUGUGAAAGCUGGAAAUUCGGGUAACAGUCACCACUGGACAGUUUUAGUAAACGGAUCAUAACUUAGUGUAGAAAAAACGAAAUUGAGUGCCGUCAAUUGUGUUUGAAACUAUACUCAUAGAUCUUUCCAACGGUAUAAAAUUGGAGCUGUGGUUCGUUUUAUAUAUGCACCAGAAAAUCAGCAAAGUUGACUGAAAAAUCGGUCGUGAACAAGUAAAAAUUGGGAUGUUGUGGUAACUUGUGACUCAAUUUGGAUUAACUUAUGAACCAAAUAUCCUUGAGAUGUCUUCUAAAAAUUGUUAGUAUUUCAAGUCUAGUUUUAAACGAGAUAAUUUGUAUGAGUUUUUGACAUUUAUAACUUAAGUUAUGAUUUUUCCAAAGAAAGAAUGCUUGCUGGAAUUUCAGCUUUGAUCGCUAAAUUUUUCAAGAUGAUGUUAAGCUCAAUUUGCUCAAAACACCCUAGAAGACUUUUAAACUACACGUAUGUGUUGGAAAUAAACCAAAACCAUGGACCUUAAGUGGUUUAAACUCCAUUUAGUUCAUUGUUUUCAUAGUUGGAAUUCUACUCAAGGCUGACAGAAAGAGAUAGUGAUUUUGUUUAGCUUUACAAUUGGCUUUGUGUGAUGAAAUCAUCUUUUUAAUGUCUUAAACAUAUGAUUAGACAUUAAUUUUGGUAUGAGUAGUGAAUUGAAGUAGAAAAUGAAAGGUUGAGAGGUGAAAACUUCACUUCCACAUGUUUCAUGUCCCAAGCGAUAAAUUUCCAGUUUUAGUUGAGGAAAAUGAGUGUUAAUAUGUUAAUAUCAUGUUUAAUAUAAAUGUUAGCCAUGUCAUGUGAUUUUUCUAGCUUGUACAUGUUCUAUUAGUUUGCAUUAGGAAAUUUCAGCUUGUAGAGUUGAACUUUUGCUUGAUGGCCAGCAUUGGUAUGGAGACAUGUGAGUUGAAUACUUGUUUAUUUUUGGUGGCUUUAUAGUCUGAAAUUAGUAGUUUGUAUAGCCUAUCAUUUGUGGUCUUGAUUUGGAUGGUUUGGCCAUGAAAUUUUGUAUUGAAUUUGGAGAGGAAAUAUAGGAUAAAACAGGGGUUAUGCUGUCCAAAUUUUGGGGCAGCUUACUACCUUGAUUUUGGACUGAUUUGGUGAUGUACUUGCCUAAUAUGCUUAGUGAACCUUUACGGUUUGCUUAUGUAUUGCAUUUUGGUUGAAAUGGAAGGGUUUCAUUGCGAUUUUCUUCCAAAUUGCUGGCUAAAAUUGUGCUUGUUUGUCGAUGGAGAGUGCAGCCUAUUACAUUGUUGUUUUUCUAACCUUUUAGUAAUUGGUUUUGGCCAAAACUUGUUCCAAACUUUGGAGAAGCCUUUUGUGCGUGAAUUUGAAUAAAAACUAUGAAGUUUGGGAGGUGAAAACCUCAUGAUUGUACUUGUUUCAUGGCUGCGAAAAAUUCUGAUUUGGAGGGCAGUUUUGCACCUUGCUACCUUUUAGCCUCAACGUCUUUAGUUUGAAAGUCUUUUGGACACAACCUCGCUGACUUGACUUGAGAAAACCUUGUUUCUUUCAUUCGUUCGCCGCUGGAAAAUUUCCCGCCAUGAAGCGAAUAAGGAACUUGUUGGUUAUUCAUGUUUCUUGAAUCGAAAAUGCUCUUAUACGCUUCAAAACCCUACUUGAAUUUUUGCCCUAGAAUAUACUUAAAUUUUUCCUUGAUUUGCAUUCUAAAUAUGGCUGUGUAUGUUGGGUUUUGAAAAAAUUUAACUUGGAGAGGUAUACGACUCAUAGCUGAGUCUAAAUUGUGAAUUCUAUUCACUUGGUUAUUCUUAGGGCUUGUCUGAUCAAGGGGGCAAUCCAGGAGGAAACUUUUGACGCUAUUUUUGCUUGAACUAGUGAGUGUUCCAACUGCAAGUUCCAUGCUACUUGUUGCACAAAUAUGACUUGUAUAUGACUUGUUACUUGAAUUGACUUGUUAUUAUAUAGGUGAGUGUGUACUUUAUCAUACUCGACCUAACUUGACUGAAUUCCUGUUUUACUACUAUAAGUGAAUUGUUUACAAGUGAACUGAGAUUCAUGCACAUGAGUUGAAAGUAACGGCCUGGAUCCUAAACCCCAUAGGCUAGUUAAUCGAGUCGAGCCGGCAAGGGUCUGGUCGAUUAGAUAACGAACCCUGGGUCUACUGUUUUGUCGAGUGGAGUGUUAUCUCCUCGAUUAAUUGGUAUACUCGAGUAUUACCACCACUGUUUAUGUUUGGAGUUCGGGCCCGGUAGGGGGUUGAUUGGUGGAUGGAGGUUGGAGUUAAGUGGUGAUCUACUGGACUUGUUAUAAUUCCAUGGUUGACGGAGUGUCAACAGAUUCUGAACAAGUUGUGACGGAACCUGUUCCCGAGAACAGACUGUAUCCUUUUAUAUGCAUGUGUUAUCGACUGUACAUGGUUAAAUGAGUUGUCUGGAUGUUAUGUUCUUUAUGGAAAAUGUGAUCAUGCUAUCAUGUGAAUGCUAAAAUGCCUAAUUGCUUGUUGUUCUCUUGGAACCUCACUGAGCUUUUAGCUCAUCCCUUCAUUUGUUUUCCUUAACAGGGUACGAGGAUGACAAGGACAAGAAUAGUGCUAGUUGUAAUAGGAAAUUUUAAUCUUGUAUUUGGACGGCACUGUAUUAUGGUAUUAGUUUACAAGUUCUUAUCUUUUGGUCUGUAUUUUGGUUUGUAUAUUCGGAUGAUUGGUAGCAUGUAGAUGUUAUAUUGAAGAGUUUUAGCGUUAUUGAUUUGCUAUCCAAAGAAUAAGGAAUUCAAACAUUGUAGUCCUUAUUUUAUGUAAUUGCAAUCCUAUUUAUACUUAGAGAAGUGAUUAAACUACUUGCAUUUCAUUUCGCUUAGUCGUAUAUAUAAGUAUGGAGUUUUUGUGAAUUGGGAUGGCUUGUAAUAUCUAUUGGGGAGUUUCGUUCUUACUUUGGAAUUAAUGUUAGUGAGUGAGUCCUGGCGAGAGCUAGGCAGGAGGUCCACUAACCUCUGGGGUUCGCCCUUUAGGGAAGUGGGGUCGUCACAGGUGGUAUCAGAGCUGCCUCGCGUGGUCUCUGCGUGGGUUGAGCUUGGGCCAAGUGGUGUUAUGGUCCUGAUUUCGUGAAUAAGUGUAAAAGACUAAGUGCUCAAAGGACUAAGCACUCUUUUGAACAUAAACUAUGAAUCAUGCAUGGUAUAGAUAUAAAACAAUUACCAUGAUAUUUGGGGAUAAUAGAUGUGUAUGUCGGGUAGGAAUCUCAAAUGUAGAUGAUUUACUCUUGGGACUGGCCAACUCGAGUUGUGAAGUAUAUUAUUUUGAAUUCUUGUACCCGAGUACUAAAGUUGAGAGCAUUAGCAUAAGAGUCGACAUCUCGGUUGAAUUUGAGAUAGGUUUGAUUGCAAAAUUUAAGGCACGGGGGAUGCUAAUAAUCUGGACCUGGAGAUGUAUUGAAGUUAUUAGUGAGGUUUAGGAUCCUUAUCAUUCAGUGUAUAUAAUUAGUUGUACUUCUUCCAGUUUUGAUUAAGUGUAGUUCUUGAAGGAUUCCUUGAGUUAUGUCUAAGAGGAUUAUUUUAUUAGUUGUGUUAAGUAAUUAUAAUAGCCAAUAUACGAGAUACGAGAGUUCAAUGAUGAAGGGCCAAUAGUGUACUUAGGUCAUGAUUAUAGGAAUUGCUUUUGGACCGGAAAGAGUAGAUUGGCCAAUUACUAAGUGAUGUUUUCUACCUUGGAUUGUCUUUACUAAGGAUAUAUUUGAAUUUGUCCAUACAUUUGAAGAGUUUUGUACCUCAACAAAGUUGAGAGGUUGAUGAUAUAUGAUUUAUGAGAGAAAUGAUGAAUAUUAGGUCUCGCUUACUGGAUUUUUGGUUAGUGGAUAGUAGCCUAUUGAGGGGAAAUGCAUAUAUUGCUAGAGCAUGGGUUGACGCUAGAUGAUGACUUGGGUGGCAUAUUUUAUGGUUUAGGUUGUACCACACAGAAAAGGUACACUCUCAUACAUGAGACGACUAGAUGUAAGCAAUGUUAAUGUGGUGGUAAAUCUUAGCUUGAUCCGACUUAUGUUUUAGUGAAGACUAGUGUUCAUGAAUAAAUUGGUAUCCUUGCAUCGAAAGGAAAAGAAUUUAGAGAUUAUAUGGCUCACAAGAGAAUUAUAUGGUUAGAGUUGUAAUUUGUGAUUUGACGGCCAUUUAGAUGGUUAGGUGAAUUGAUGAAAUUAAGAAAUUGGAAGAGAUACAUGAGGAAAUAGAGAUUCCUUGGAGGGAGGUAGAGCUCUAAAAGAAAACAGUUGAAACACGAAGAUGUGGAGAUAAUUGAGCAUGUGAAAAUGAAAGGAGAAGAUAAAGAGAUAUUAACGAGAUGCACUCAAACCUUGACAAGAAAGUCUAAUGUGGUGAAAGGAGUUUCAUGAUUAAGAGAAAACAUACAGAGAUGGGCGGAGUUGGAAUUGGUGAUUAAGAAGGAGGAAACGAAAGAAGAGAUCGGUAUCUUCUACAUUUGAAUGUUGUAACUAUGAUUGAAAUGUAUUAGCGGAUAACUGGUUUAUAUUAUAGAAGUGGCAAGCUUGAACGCCAAGUGAGGAAUUACACAAACAAAUCGAUUAGGUAAUGGUGAAUCUACUAUAUUAGCUGAAGUAAGUAACUAGCUGUGUCCUUGAAAGUGUAUCGUGAAUGCUUUAUGUAGUAGGAUGUAGCUACUGGAUGAACACGGGACUUGAUACUUGAUAUUUUGCCUAGUGAUAGUCAAUGUUUACCUUAGGUUGGAGUUACAUCCUUAUAUCUGAUUAUGUGUGUGUGGUGCAUUACUAUUCUUUGGUUUAUAUGAGGAUUUUCCUUUGUAGUUUGUAAUGAAGAAAUCUCAAUUAGAAAGGGGUAGUACACGUAUAGGAAUUCAAUUGUAGACAUGAUCAGAGACUUACCUAACGGACUAGUUGCCAGUACAUAAUGUAUGAAUCCAACAUUUACUAAACGUGGCAAACAAGUUUUGUAGUUAUGGUUCAUUUUCAUCGAGUUCUAAUUUUAUAUCCUCGUAAAUAUUUUAAGCCAUCUUAGCCCUCCCUUAGAGCAAUAGUUUAGCCAUUACGUUCAUACGACUAUCCCUCAAGCAAACUUUAGUAGAAGCAUCUAGGGUAGUAGGAAGCUACUUUGGAGUUGAGGAAAAACCCUGUAGAAUCAAGCUUUGCAUGAGCAAAGGUUGGAAUUUCGAGGACGAAAUUCUUUUAAGGGGGGAAGAUUGUGAGAACCCGAAAAUUAUAUUUAUAUUGAUAUUCUCAAAAAUUAUAUAUAUAUUUGUAUUCUAAUCUAAUUGCCUUGGAUCUUUGGUUAAUCUAACGGUUGAAUCGUGAUUUUACUCCUAUUGCCUCAUUCAAUUUAUUACAUGUUGGUUUUCUUGGGGUGAUAUACCAAUUCGUCCAACUAGCGAGGUAGGUGCGAUAAAUUUUGUGAACUAGAGGGAGAUUUGUACAAAAGGGGUUAUUGUGCUACAAGGUGUUUUCGAAACGUAUUUGUUUUGAAAUUUUCUACUUUGAAUGAAUUAUAUUUCUUAGUAAUUGGAAAAUGAUUUAUAUAUGAUUUUAUACCUUCUUGUUUCCGUGCAAUAAUUUCAAAAACAAUUGCAAGGGGUUUAAUUGAAGUUGUCAAACUUAUUUGGUUGUGCAAACUCUAUUUGAGUGGAAAUGAAGGGUUAAUCUUAGCUAAUUACUUUUAGAAUUAUUGGAUUUUUGACUUUGAUCAAGACUAGUUUUAGUCUUCACCUUGGAAGUAAAAUAGACCAAGACAUUUCAUUCCUUUUCUUACCUCUUGGCCGACAAUGGAGUGAAAAAAUCAGCCAUAAUCUUCUUACCUUGACCAAGAGCUCCCUAGACCAGUCUUCAACCGAGAGAAAGAGAGGGAUGAUUUGCUCAAGCCACAAAUUUUGACCAAACAUAUUUGACCAAGUCAAAAUAGCUUCCAUUCCUUCUUAUUUCCAUUCAGCUUAACCAAAAGCCAAUUUCCCCUUUCUUCACUUCAUGUUGGAGCCGAGAGAGAGAAGAGAGUUGAGAAAAAAAAAACUUCAUCCUCUCCUUCUUAUCAUCAGUCAAGAGUUAAGGCUGAUUUAGCCAUGGUAAUUCCACAAAAUCUCCCUAUUUCGUCAAGCCUAAACCAUGAGUGAGAAAGAGACAAGAAAGCCAUAUUGGGAGGUGAAGAAAACGGAGGAAACCUGGACCGAAGGAGAAGGAAGUGGACAGCCUGCAUUUUUUUUUCCAGCUUGCUUGAACCAUGGAGGAAUCAAGAAGGUGAGCCAACUUCUAGCUUGAUUUGUGGCAGAAAAAUAAGGUAAUAUGGCUGAAAAACUUCAAUCUUUCCUUAUACUUUAA
rnacentral:lncRNA from 1 species